rnacentral:rRNA from 1 species
UGGGGAAUAUUGCGCAAUGGGCGAAAGCCUGACGCAGCGACGCCGCGUGAGGGAUGAAGGUUUUCGGAUCGUAAACCUCUGUCAGAAGGGAAGAAACCGCACUGUGCUAAUCAGCAGUGCCUUGACGGUACCUUCAAAGGAAGCACCGGCUAACUCCGUGCCAGCAGCCGCGGUAAUACGGAGGGUGCAAGCGUUAAUCGGAAUUACUGGGCGUAAAGCGCACGUAGGCUGCUUUGUAAGUCAGGGGUGAAAUCCCACGGCUCAACCGUGGAACUGCCUUUGAUACUGCUGAGCUUGAAUCCGGGAGAGGGUGGCGGAAUUCCAGGUGUAGGAGUGAAAUCCGUAGAUAUCUGGAGGAACAUCAGUGGCGAAGGCGGCCACCUGGACCGGUAUUGACGCUGAGGUGCGAAAGCGUGGGGAGCAAACAGG